CCUACGGGAUGCAGCAGUGGGGAAUAUUGCGCAAUGGGCGAAAGCCUGACGCAGCGACGCCGCGUGAGGGAUGAAGGUCUUCGUAUCGUAAACCUCUGUCAGCAGGGAAGAACGGUCACUGUGCUAAUCAGCAGUGAAUUGACGGUACCUGCAAAGGAAGCACCGGCUAACUCCGUGCCAGCAGCCGCGGUAAUACGGCGGGUGCGAGCGUUAAUCGGAGUUACUGGGCGUAAAGCGCUCGUAGGCGGUAUGUCAAGUCAAGGGUGAAAUCCCCGCGCUCAACGUGGGAACUGCCUUUGAAACUGGCAGACUUGAGUGUGUGAGAGGAUAGUGGAAUUCCAGGUGUAGGAGUGAAAUCCGUAGAUAUCUGGAGGAACAUCAGUGGCGAAGGCGACUAUCUGGCACAUAACUGACGCUGAGGAGCGAAAGCGUGGGUAGCAAACAGGAUUAGAUACCCCGGUAGUC
rnacentral:rRNA from 1 species